AAGGAUUGAACAAAAGCAUUUGGGAUCCUGGUGAUCAAAUGUGUCUUGGUCUUUCCUACAGAGCUUAUGGACAUGUGGCUGUUACUGGGCGAGCACAGACAGACCACUGCAGACUGUUCGGACAGGAGGCGAGCAUGGGUCAGCAGCUCCCUGCCAAGGCUUUACAAGAAAGGCAGAAAGGGAUGGCAGAGCUUCGGAGCACGGCUGGACCCACAGAAACGACACGCCGCCGAGCUGAGAGCCCUAUAGGUGCCGUUUGCCUCGACACUUCGUCGCAAAGCAACUGAAGCUGGCCAUGUCCUAAAAGGCGGUGAGGGUGUUUGAAGAUGCCAACUACUGACAACGAGAUCAGAAAUUUCAUUUUGAACGUGCCCGAAAGGCCCGCUGUUUAGCCAGUGAAUCUCACCAGACGUGAGGGCACGGAGAUGCCUGGAAGGAGAUGGAGAUGAUGGAGAGACGGGGUGGCCAGGGAGACCUUCACUGUCCUUGCGCCACCUUUGAGGGUAGCCAGGGGGAUGAUUGCUGCCCCGGGGCACCUCCACACUCGUGUUGCAGGUCUGAAGGUGCCUCCGCCUGGAAGUAGCCCCUGGUGCAGCGCACCGCUAAUGGCCAGGGCACCUUGCGGACCACUUUGUUCUCCUCUCGGUGCAAGCCCCUGUCUCCCGUCCGUACUCCCUGGGC
rnacentral:lncRNA from 1 species